rnacentral:rRNA from 3 species
UACGAAGGGGGCUAGCGUUGUUCGGAAUCACUGGGCGUAAAGCGCACGUAGGCGGACUUUUAAGUCAGGGGUGAAAUCCCGGGGCUCAACCUCGGAACUGCCUUUGAUACUGGAAGUCUGGAGUCCGAGAGAGGUGAGUGGAACUCCGAGUGUAGAGGUGAAAUUCGUAGAUAUUCGGAAGAACACCAGUGGCGAAGGCGGCUCACUGGCUCGGUACUGACGCUGAGGUGCGAAAGCGUGGGGAGCAAACAGG